GACGUAGGGCGCGAGCGUUGUCCGGAUUUAUUGGGCGUAAAGAGCUCGUAGGCGGUUUGUCGCGUCGUUCGUGAAAACUCACAGCUUAACUGUGAGCUUGCGGUCGAUACGGGCAGGCUAGAGUUCGGUAGGGGAGACUGGAAUUCCUGGUGUAGCGGUGAAAUGCGCAGAUAUCAGGAGGAACACCGGUGGCGAAGGCGGGUCUCUGGGCCGAUACUGACGUGAGGAGCGAAAGCGUGGGGAGCGAACAGG
rnacentral:rRNA from 1 species